rfam:Trichobilharzia regenti genome assembly, scaffold: TRE_scaffold0019620
GUAUUUCUGAAGAGUCCCAAACUAGGACGAAACAGCUGUCCAGUAC